GGCGGUGUAGCUCAGUCGGCAAGAGCACACGGCUCAUACCCGUGGCGUCUAGGGUUCGAAUCCCUACACCGCCA
rnacentral:tRNA from 1 species